UGGAUAUUGGAGAUAAUCAUUCUUUAAUUUCUGAAAUAAGAACAGUCCUCAUCGACUCCUAUAACUUGUUUCCCUACCUUGUGGGCUGUCCCUUGCUGCUUGCAUUCCUUAUUUAGGAAAAAUCUUUUCACAACAAACACCCGAGGGAAUAUCCUGAAUCUCUAGUCAUAUUUGAAAGGUUUGAAGAGGACAGAGGGGAGAGGACUAUCUUGCAGUUAUCACAGUCCCUGACAUGUGCUCGGCAUUUUAUCUCUAAAACAAAGUUACUCUGGGGAUUCGACUUACAAGAAUGAAUAAUCCAGGCCUCAGAAUUCUGUACUUUGGAAAAGUGCACACCCCCAAGCAUACACAUUUUAACACACACAUACUGUUGUGUAGUUUAGAAUACCAGUAUAAAUGUGUAUGUUUUUACUGUGAUUUUCCUCCA